UAAGGAAUAUUGGACAAUGGUGGAAACACUGAUCCAGCCAUGCCGCGUGCAGGAUGAAUGCCCUAUGGGUUGUAAACUGCUUUUAUACGGGAAAAAACCCCACUACGUGUAGUGGGCUGAUGGUACCGUAAGAAUAAGGAUCGGCUAACUUCGUGCCAGCAGCCGCGGUAAUACGAAGGAUUCGAGCGUUAUCCGGAUUUAUUGGGUUUAAAGGGUGCGUAGGUGGAUUAAUAAGUCAGUGGUGAAAGCCCGCAGCUUAACUGCGGAACUGCCAUUGAUACUGUUAGUCUUGAGUACAGUUGAGGUGGGCGGAAUGUGUCAUGUAGCGGUGAAAUGCUUAGAUAUGACACAGAACACCGAUUGCGAAGGCAGCUCACUAAGCUGUAACUGACACUGAGGCACGAAAGUGUGGGUAGCAAACAGGAUUAGAUACCCGUGUAGUCC
rnacentral:rRNA from 1 species